rnacentral:lncRNA from 1 species
CUGCUGUACAGCAAAGUGACCCAGUCAUACAAGUACAUACACUCUUUUUCUCAUAUUAUCUUCCAUCAUGGUCUAUCACAAGAGACUGGAUACAGUUCUCUGUGCUCUACAGCAGGACCUCAUUGCUUAUCCAUUCUAAAUGUGGUAGUUUGCAUCUACUAACUCCAAACUCCCCGUCCAGCCCCCUCCCUCCCCCUUGGCAACCACAAGUCUGUUCUCCAUGUCUGUGAGUCUGUUUCUGUUCUGUAGACAGGUUCAUUUGUGCCACAUUUUAGAGUCCACAUAGAAGUGGUAUCACAUGGUAUCUGUCUUUCUCUUUCUGACGUAUUUCACUUUAGUAUGAGAAUCUCCAGUGACAUCCAGGUUGCUGCAAAUGGCAUUAUUUUGUUCUCUUUUAUGGCUGAAGAACUUUCUGUUGUGUAUAUGUACCACAUCGUCUUAAUCCAUUCUAAAACAUUGUUUAAAAAGAAGACAACAGAGUUCCUACUGUGGCUCAGUGGGUUAAGAAUCUGACUAGUAUCCAUGAGGAUGUGGGUUUGAUCCCUGGCCGCAUUCAAUGGGUUAAGGAUCUGGAGUGGCUGCAAGCUGUGGCAAAAGUCCCAGAUGUACCUCAGAUCUGGUGUGGCCAUGGCUGUGGCACAGGCAGGCAGUUGCAGCUCUGAUUCGACCCCUAGCCUGGGAACUUUCAUAUGUCAUAGAUGCAGCCACAAAAAGAGAGAAAGAGAGAGAGAAAGAAAGAAACCAUGUAGGCCCUAAUCUGGGAAGCUGCUUUGUGCUCGAGUUGAACUUAAUCAAGUCUUCCUAAGGGAAAUCUUUGCAGCUGCUCAGAAGAACAUGGGACCAGGUGUUGUAAACACCUGGCUGUCCUGGAGGCUAAAGAAUCUGCCUCCUUCCCUGUUUUCUACGAGCCCUUUCCAAGAGGAAGUCUGAUCCUCCGAGUCUCGGCUCCAAAGAGAGGUCUCAUAAAAGAACAAUCAGGCCUGUGCUCCCACCAAGGCCACUGAGACACACCCCCCCUGUGGAUUCCAAUGCAUCCUUCCUCCCCAUGUCCCACCCAAGGCUAUUCCAGCAGGGAGAGAUCAGUAAACUCAGCCUCAGAGUUCCUACUGUGGCUCAGCAGUAACAAACCCACCUGGUACGCAGGUUCAAUCCCAGGCCUCACCCAGUGGGUUAAGGAUCUAGCGUUGCCAUGAACUGUGGUGUGGGUCACAGACGCAGCUCAGAUCCCACGUUGUCAUGGCUGUGAGUAGGCCGGCAGAUGCAGCUCUGAUUCAGCCUCUAGCCUGGGGAC